UACGUAGGGUGCGAGCGUUGUCCGGAAUUAUUGGGCGUAAAGGGCUCGUAGGCGGUCUGUCGCGUCGGGAGUGAAAACUCAGGGCUUAACCCUGAGCCUGCUUCCGAUACGGGCAGACUAGAGGUAUGCAGGGGAGAACGGAAUUCCUGGUGUAGCGGUGGAAUGCGCAGAUAUCAGGAGGAACACCGGUGGCGAAGGCGGCAUCCUGGACCGGCAUUGACGCUGAGUGAGCGAAAGCCAGGGGAGCAAACGGG
rnacentral:rRNA from 1 species